GUGGGGGGCCGGGAUGGGGUGCCGGGUUGGAGGGUGGGACCCCCUGGCAAAAGACGGGGUCCCCUCUUCCCCAAGCGGCAAGCCAUCCCCCUUCCUCCCUUCCCUCCCCCCAGUCUCGGAGAUCAGAGAAGCACCGACUGGGAGUUCUGUCUCCCCAGUACCUGGGAGCCACUUGAAGACAGUGACGGGCUCUAAUCCACUCUUGUAUUCCCGCACCUGUGCCUGGCACACAGGUGGACCCAUGGGGCCUGCAGUCACUCUGGCCGACCCUUCGACCCUCAAGAACCUCCAUCAGCGCCAGGGAGCCUGGGCCCGGAACUGCCUCUCUGCCCCAGCAGCACCCUCUUGGUGCCCUUCCCUCCCCUUCCUGUGCCCCAAUUUCCAGAGGGUCUGAACACACUGACCCCCAAAGAGAAGCCCUGCAGAGCAGAGACCUCACCCUGAGAAGGUGGGUAAAAAGAAGAGAGCCC
ensembl:lncRNA